AGCCUCGCCCCGCGUACCGCCCACGGCUCCUUCGCCCAAGCCUCUGCGCAGCCGAGGUAGCAAAUGAUGGCUCAAGUCUUGGAUGGCUGCCACCUAUGUGGGAGACAUGGAGAAGUCCCUGACUCCUGGCUUUGACCUCACCCUCAGCUGUUGUGAUUUUGAGGAAUGAAUCAGUCUCAAAAUGAUGGCACAACUCCAUUGGCAUCGUGACGCUACCACAGAAUGUUCUGUCACCCAAGACACCAUCAGUGUGACUGUUUGAGGCCCCUCCAAGUGGUUGCUGGUAUCAACGUCACUUCUUAUUGCCAGUGGGUUUCCCAGAGUGUGGAUUUGCUGCCAUUUGUCUAUCCGGAUGCUCCUCAGUUGAUGGGAAUUUGGUCAUUUCCUCUUGCUGGCUGCCCUGAAUCCUGAGAGGGACAUCUGUGUCCCGGUUUGUGUGAAAGUGCGGGUUCUCAUCUCACACAGGCCAUGGGCCCAGGAGGAUGGAGACCCAGGCCUGCUCCAAUCGUUGCUGGGCCCUGGUGUUUGGAUCCGGCUGGCAGCAGCAGGGCCUCCGUGAGCGAAGGCCGCAGACCACAAAGACCACAUCUCAGGUGGAGCAGUCUUCUCUGGAUCUGUUGGCUUCCGUGAAUUCUCCAUGAAGACACAAAGCCUGACACCAGCUCUGAGGGGCAAGGCAGUGUGGAGGCUCCCACCGGUGAGAGAUGGGGGCGGGGGGAGAUGACCCGUGCACCUGUGUUCCGGCGCCCCGACAAGAUGAAUGUUUAUGACACGCGCUAGAGCUCCUGCUCCCUGCACGCGACCUGCUGGCUCCACAGGAUGGGAGCAUCAGCGAAGCAGCUGGGCGCCCAGCCCCCCGCCCCGGCCCUGGAGUCCUCGCUAUCAGUGUCUUUGUCGUGGGUGCUUGGGUCCGGGCUCUUGUCUCUCAUGCAAGAAGGACUGCAAGGAUGGGGCACGGGUAAAGGUCAGCGGAGGAGGGAGAUUGGUUUACACGCCAGGUGCAGGAGCGCGGGCUGGCUCAGAGGAGAGCUGCAGGCGGCAGCAGGGCCGGGGCUGUCUGCUCUGGAGGUGUGCGUGCGGGGCGUGGCUGGAGAGGGCUCCGUAGCAGGCUGCCCACUCUAGAGGCUGGGCUGUUGGAGCCACUUGCGGAAGCUCCGCAGCCGCAGCCCUCUGCUCUCCCAGUCCAUCUCCUCGGGUGGAAUGGUCGCCGUGUUGGUGUCCCCUGCAGUGAACUACAGCCACCUCCAGAGACGCCAAGACAGGGAGAGGGCCGGGGCCUCUCGGCCGUGUUUAACGGGGGAGUUUUUCACAGUUGUUGGGCCUCUUUGUCUCCAAAUCACUGUAUGUGCAGGUAGACCAGGGAUGCGUAGUCGGCAUCGGUGUGGACAUUGGGUCUCUGGCCUUUUGCUGGUUUGAAGGCUGCAGGCAAGGUGGAAAGUUUGGCCUUUUGAGCCGAGAUGUUGAGCGUAAGCUUCCGUAACUUGAGUAAGGUCUUCUGUGGCAAAUCCUGCCUCUCUAACCCCUUCCUUCGUGCAACUCCUGCCAUCAGCGAGCCAUUCAACAUCCGGGCUUUCCAGAGGUGCAUCUGGUAGGUCCGAUCUAGGGGUGGAGUCUUGCUGUAUGGUCUCUAUGCAAGAGUGAGCUCGUCUCAGAAUCUUCGGAAUCCAGGGGAGCAGCCUUGGCGUCCUUCGAGAGUGAACCCUGGUGAGCCAAAAUGGAGAGCCCGGUGUCAGUGAGAGUGAGCCCCCCCUUCCCCCCGUCAGCCACGGGCACCUGUGAUCUCUGGAACCCUCGUCCUUGGCUUGCAGUGUGAGCUUCAGGAGCCGCGGAGUCCGUGGUUUUCUCUACCGAAAGUGCAGUAGCAGCAACCAAGCAUCCAGACCAUCCUGAGUCUGGUUGAUUAGAAAGGUAGCCAAGGGGCCACAGAAUGGGCCCAGUUUCGGGUGAGUACCCCCCAGGUUAUUCCUUUCAGCUACCAAUGGGGAGAAUGACUUGUCUCAGGCAUCCCCAGUGCAGGGGCCAUUGUCAGCUGACCCUAAGCCUGUUGAAAGGCCCCGUGUUAGUUCCCUGUCUAUUCCAGUGGGUCAGUUUCAGCAGCCUUUAAACCUCAGCAGGGGUUUGGUUAUCAGCCUCAAUCCUGGCAUCCAGAUCCCGCAGCAGCCUGCCGUUCACAGGAAUGUUCUCGGCUGUCGCUUUGUAGGUGGUAGCCCAAUCCACAGUGUGGCUGCCCACGGGGAGAUCCGGAUUUUGGUUGGGGAAACUUGAUAUCGCCGUUCCCCUAAAAGCGUUAAGAUCUGAAUGGUGUUUUCAACUGAGUCCUCCUUGAGGUGACUGUAGGUGAGGCCAUGUCUAUCUAUUGUUAUCCUUCCUGCUAGGUGCUGUGUGGGUACUCAUUAGCAUGCUAAUAACAGAUUUCAGUGUAAGGAUGGCUGCCCUGAGAAAGCGCCCCUAGAGGGUCGCAGACCUGCUAGCGCCCGCAGAGGCUGGUGGGAGAUGACGGCGUCUUCUGUCCGGCAAGGCAGAGGCCAGGUGACCCGCUGGGAGAGGGGCUUGCCAUCAGCCCCCAUGAUGACACGACUCUGAGGACAGGGGCCCCAGCAGAGGAACUGGCACCCGCGUCAGUUAGAAAAUCGAUUUUCUUACCUGCCACAUCCGGGAGUGGGGUGGUCCCGAGGGCUGCGGGAGCUGCCUGAGUUCCCAGGCCCCAUCAGUCCUUGGAUUAGGACACGAGGCAACCGGGCCUCCUCCUGUCCCCCAGGAACUGCGUGUGAGCAGGUUUCCAGCGCCCUCCUUGUUUCCAGUGGGGCCAGGGGCCAGGUAGGCUUCUCAGGUGGGGACAGUCCUUGCACCAAUGUCCUGUCCUCCCACACCCAGAACAUUCUCCCUUGGGCUUCUCUGCCUGGUUCCAGUGGCUGCUGCCGUGUGGACAUUGGAGCCUUCUGCACAGCAGCUUUGCCUCUAGUCCUGGUCACCCCGCAUGCUGCAUCCAGCAGCUGUUCCUGGGGGUCUGGGACCCCACAGCCCGUCUCUGGAGUUCCCUCUGGAUAUCCCUGGCUGGCUGAGGUACGCAGUAGGACAUGUGCUAGGGGCUGUGUGAGUGUAUCUGUUGAAUCUCUUUAAGGCCUCUCCCAGCCAUCCCUGGCUGAAGGCGGAUUCUCGUCCCUAUGCUGUGUUACCUCCCUGACUUUGUCACCCAGGGAGCUCAGCAGCACAGCACAGCCGAGCGUCCCCUAGGGGCCGUGACCAUGCCACCUCUCAGACUCCCGAUACGACCUAGUCCACAGGACCUCCUUGUCCUGUCGUGCUGUGGGCCUCAGGGCAGGAUAAGCACGUGUUAGCAGGAGCAAGUGUCCCAUGGGCCCUUCUGAAGACAGUACCCAGGUCACGAGAGUGUUGGGAGGUCGCACACAGAGCCCGCAUCUCUGCCCUGUGUACGGCUCUGAGCCGUAUCCCUUGGGGACCACUGUGAAUCCUCUGUUGCUAUUGGCGGUUCCCGUGAUAAUUCUCUGAAGCCACUUUUCCAUUUAUUUUUUUGAAUGAAUUCCAAGUGCUCAUUGAGACCUGCUCAGACUGGAGUGAAACAGCCCCUGCUCUCUGCCCGGAGGAUGCAAAACCUCCGUGAUCUGUCUUUGUGGAUCCAUUUGACUGUAAGAUUCGGAAGAAGGGGCCAUUCACUAAGAGCCAUCGCCCCUCCCCCAGAGACCCAGAAGAGGAGAUAGAGCGAAGUGGGGGAGGCGUGGGCAGCCCAGGAAACACUGUCCCCUCCUGGCGGCUUCCCCAGCUGGAGGCAGAGAGGCCCUGUCCUCCCCAGGGGGCCUCCCGCCCUGCCCUCCUCUCAGCUUGCCCAGUGCCCUCAAAGGCCAGGGUGGAGCUGGUGCCUGUUCACCUGAACGCCUUGUAGAUGAGACCCAGCUGUUACACCCACUCUGCGGUCUGCUGCAUAAAGGCCUCUGGCUUUUGGGGCACACAGCAGCGUGGACUUCGUACCUGGCUCCCACCUGCAGCUGUUGGCGUCCACACCCAGCUGAGCCCCCAUACCAUGACGUCAGGGCCCGUGGCACUCGGGUCUCUUGUUCUCCAUUGGGAAUGUGCGGGGCAGUGGGUAUGGACUGUCUUAGCUGCUUUGAACUAUGCCUUAUUAGACACUAAAGUCUGCCUCCUGGGCGGGGGUAGGGGUGAGGGGGGUGGGUGGAUCUCAGAGCCUCUUCCCGCUGAGCACCUGAUACAUCGUGGACUUGACACGCCCCUCGCCCACCCUCUCUCUGAGAACCACCUUUCUUCUCUUUUUCUACAAGGUCGAUGCUGUUAGAUUCCCCAUAGACAGGCGAUCAAGGAGCACUUGUUCCUCUGUGUUGACGGAUGCACCUAUGUAUGACCCGUUCCACAGUGUGUACGCGUACCCAGACAUCCCCCUGGACCCCAUACAUGCACGCAGUUACGAUUUUUAUUCAUGAGGAAUAUUUGCAAAUGUGCAAAGAUAAUAAGCUCGGGGGUGGCGGCAGUAUACAGUUAAGAUUUUUAUUCAUAAGCAGCGUUUGCAAAUGUGAAAAGCAACUGAGGGAACGUGGCAUGACCACCCUUCCCCUUGGGGAUUUGCCCUCAGUUGUCCACUGACUCCACAUGAGCCACUCUUCCCCAGAAUCCAUGGCCUGGCUAUUCGGAUGGCAGGCAGCAAAGCCCUACAGGGACGGAGAAAGUGCCCCUAGGGACCUUGCUCCAGCCAUGACUCUUGCUGUAUUCCCCUGGGAACCCCUUCUGUCCAUGGUUCCUGCUAUGUCCCAUAGGGACCUUGCUCCAGCCAUGACUCUUGCUGUAUUCCCCUGGGAACCCCUUCUGUCCAUGGUUCUUGCUGUAUCCCUAUAGGGACCCCUCUGGCCAUGACUCUUGCUGUAUCCCAUAGGGACCCUGUUGCAGCCAUGGCUCUUGCUGUAUGCCCCUGAGAACCCCUUCUAGCCAUGGUUCCUGCUGUAUCCCUCUGGGGACUCUGUUCUGGCCAUGGCUCUUGCUGUAUUCCCCUGGGGACCCUGUUGCAGCCAUGGCUCUUCCUGUAUCCCCCUGGGAGCCCCUUCUAGCCAUGGUUCUUGCUGUUUCCCAUAGGGGCCCUCUUCUGGCCAAGGUUCUUGCUGUAUCCCAUUAGGGACCCCUCUGGCCAUGGUUCUUGCCGUAUCCCACAGGGACCCCUCUGGCCAUGGUUCUUGCUGUAUCCCAUAGGGGCCCUCUCCUGGCCAUGGUUCUUGCUGUGUCCCAUAGGGACCCCUCUGGCCAUGGUUCUUGCUGUGUCUCCAUAGGGAUCCCUCUGGCCAUGGUUCCUCUGUAUCUCAUAGGGACCCCCUCUGGCCAUGGUUCUUGCUGUGUCCCAUAGGGACCCUCUCCUGGCCAUGGUUCUUCUGUAUCCCAUAGGGGCCCUCUCCUGGCCAUGGUUCUUGCUGUGUCCCAUAGGGACCCCUCUGGCCAUGGUUCUUGCUGUGUCCCAUAGGGACCCCUCUGGCCAUGGUUCUUGCUGUGUCUCCAUAGGGAUCCCUCUGGCCAUGGUUCCUCUGUAUCUCAUAGGGACCCCCUCUGGCCAUGGUUCUUGCUGUGUCCCAUAGGGACCCUCUCCUGGCCAUGGUUCUUCUGUAUCCCAUAGGGGCCCUCUUCUGGCCAUGGUUCUUGCUGUGUCCCAUAGGGACCCCUCUGGCCAUGGUUCUUGCUGUGUCCCAUAGGGACCCCUCUGGCCAUGGUUCUUCUGUGUCCCAUAGGGACCCCUCUGGCCAUGGUUCUUGCUGUAUCCCAUAGGGACCCCCUCUGGCCAUGGUUCUUGCUAUGUCCCAUAGGGAUCCCUCUGGCCAUGGUUCUUCUGUAUCCCACAGGGGCCCUCUUCUGGCCAAGGUUCUUGCUGUAUCCCAUUAGGGACCCCCCUGCCACCCCGGCCUUUGCUGUAUCCUAGAGACCCCUUGGCGGCCCUGGCCCUUGCUGGAAGGAGCAGCCGAAGUCCUAGGGUCUGGCUGCCUGGCCUGGGUGUACUUGUGCGCAGGUGCUCUACAGGAGCCAUUGCUUCCCUCUGUGUCGUGAGCACUGCUCCUGGUGCGGAGGACUGAGGGGGUGGCUACAGGGCCUGGCUGGGGCUGACCAUGGAGGAGGGGUCCGUGUCUGCAGGCUGAGCAAGGUGGCUGUCAGGCACGGGGCGCCUCUGCCUGUGCUCUGCCCUGACUCCUGCUCCUCCCCAGGCAGCAGGACCUGGGAGGGAAACAUGGGCAGGUGGGAAGAUGUAGCGCCACUUGCACUUUUCAACUCAGGGGCAUGGAGGAGCUCCGUGGAGCUUUGGGGCCGCCAAGGAUGGGACUUGCCUGAAGCGUGGGCUUCGCCUGAUGCUGGGGCCCUUCUGUCGGGAUAUCUCACGACACAGCACGUGGUGUGUGCCCAUGGCACUGUCGUAUUUAUGCUUUGACAAGGACUCUUGUAUCUGCUCUGGGCUUAUAGCCUAGGCUGACUCUGACUUCCGUGAUUUGAGGGUCCUGGUGACAAGCCAGCGGCUCAGCACGGGGUCUUGGAGUUUCUUCCCAGACCACACCGUGCUAUCAUCGGCCCACAAUGCGGUCUAGUUCGGGCCUCUUUCCAGGACUGAAUGUCAGUAAGUCUUCCAGAGCUUUUCCAGCCCUAGGCUGACAGCACAGGGAAGCUGGUAUUUUCCUGUGAGUGUGCACUCCAACUGCUGCCCAGGGCCUCUCCAUCAAGUGGCAAGAUCCCUGUAAACACGGCAGCCAGAUUCACCCCCAUACUCCACAUGUCUGAAUCAGAGGGGUCGUAUGGUUGGCCCUAGAGCAUUUCUGGAGCACAAUACUGGGGAGUUCCACCGAUGUGCUGAGAUCUUGCCCGUCGGAGCCCCUGCAUCCCAGGCUAAAGUCAGUUUAACAGUGAGGGCAACAUCCAGGAGGACACUGCCCAGUUUCAGUUCCCUGUGCGCAUUACCCCUGUCCAUGGCGACAGUGUGUGGCCGGCACAGUCCUCCGGGACCAACUGAGGCCUGCACUGCCAGGUGGCUUGCUCGGCCACCCAGAGGACUGGCCGCUGUCUGCUGCCGAGUCCUGUGACCACAGUCUGUCUGCCCUCCCGAUUGCCUUGGAGAGCCGUAUCAUGUCGGGGUGAUUGAUGUAUGGCAUUCAGUCCUCUUCCAGGAAAGCACUGAGGGCUGCAGGUGUCCCUGUCCUGUUUCUGGGUGACCUUUACGGCCACCCGGGCCUGGUUAACAGAUGGCAGGCUAGCUUCACUUGGCCAGAGCUGCCCAGGCCAGUGGUCCUUGGGAGCCUGGGAUGACCAGCGAGGACUUCCUCAUAGGAGUAAAUGACCACAGGUCCCUCUGUUGGGUGACCUCCUCGCUACCGUAUCUUCACAUACUAACUAGUAAUGCUAACUGGUUGCAUGCUAGCUGUACUAACUGUACUAACUAGUGAGACAAGUAAACACCAACUAUAUUAGCUAGCUGAUGCUAAUUAACUUCAAUACCAUAUGAACUACUCACACAGUAGUAAUGGAUGAGAUUAAUGAUGCUAUCUGAAUUUUAAAAAAAUUAAAAAUGAGAAAAUAAUGCAAAGGUAAAAAUGGGGAAAGAAAAAAAUGAAGAAGAAAAUGAGAAAAAAAAUAGGAAAAAAAAUGAGGAAGACACAAAGAAUUUUAAAAUGGGAAAAGACGGGGCAGGCGUGUGGCACCGUGGGCUGAGCCACCACGAGGGAUGGCUGUGUCUUAUAUAGCAGUGCCUGGUUUAAGUCCUGGCCACUCUGUGCUUCCGAUUCCACUUCCUGAUACUGCAUUCUAGGAGGCAGAAGGUGAUGACCCAAGUACCGGGGUCCCUGUCACUCAUGUGGGAAUCCUGAUUGAAGGUCUGGGCUCCUGGUGCAGCCCUAGCUGCUUUGAGUAUUUGGGGAGUGAAACAGCAGAUGAAAGUGCUCUCUCUCUCUCUCUCUCUCUCUCUCUAACUCUUUCAAGUAAAUAAAUAAAUCUAUUUUAAAGAGAGAGAGAAAAAAAGAAAAAAAACAAUGGAAAACAGAAAUGAAGAAGUGGCAGAAAGGAAAAAACAAAUGAAAAAGUGAAAGGAGGAAAAAGGAAAACUAUAAAGACAAAAUGAAAGAAACAAAUAAUAAGGACACUGAGGAAAAAAAAAAAAAAAGAAUGAGAAAGAAAGGGGCCAGCACUGUGGCCCGGUGGGUUGAGCUAGGGCUUUCAUCCCCGGCAUCACAUACCAGAAUGCCAGUUCCAGCCCUAACUCUUGGCUUCUGCUCCAGCUUCCUGCUGAUAUUCCUGGGAAGGCAGUGGGUGAUGACCCAAAGUGCUUAGUCCCCUGCCGCCCAUGUGGAAGACCCAGAGGGAGUUCCUGGCUUUGGCCUGGCCCAGUUCUGUCUGUUGUGGCCAUUUGGGGAGCAAACCAAUGCCCAAUGAUAGAAGGGGUCUCUUUACCAUUAGAUUAAUUUUUCAAAACAGCUUUAAGGGAGUAGGUUAACUGUUUACUGUUGUUGCCAAAUGAGUAUCUUAAGUCCGUCGUAAAAGCUGUGUGUUUUAGACAAUUUGAACCUAAAUCUCCAGAUUGUAAAAUCUACUCCGAUAUAGAUGAUAGUGUAGUCGUAGGAAACAAUUCUGAUGACCUACCCAAAGCAAAGAGGGAAUGUUGUCAAUAUUUGAGGUAAUGUGGCUGGACAAUAAAUAAUGGCGUGGUUCGUGGUCCCACUGACCUGGUAAAAUUCUAGGAGUCCUGUGGACAGGUGGAGGGAGAGUGACCCCUGGUGCUGUUCCAGAACGAUGUAGAAUCAGCCACUGAGUGCUAACGACCAGCCCUGAAGUCUCACAGCGUUCUCUGGGGUUGGAGGGCAGCGCAGACCACAUUUAGGGGAUAACUCCCCCAACUCUCUAUAAGACAGGAAGGUCUCAGGAUUUCAAAUGGAAGGUAGAACAGCAGCAGCUCCCCAGUGUUUGAAAGCAAACAUACUGGCAGUCCAGAGGUUGUAUUUUUAAAGGAAGAUAUGAACUCUAGACCGGAUGUUAUUUAUGGGCAGGGAUAUGGCUUGUGGUCUCUUUGGGGGUAAGGACUCUUUUACACUAAAUUCAUUCCCAUGAGUGUCUGGACUAAGAGAUCUCCUUCCUCACAUCAUGUUCUCAAUAUGCUGAAAACUGAUUUGAACUGCUUAUCAGGGCUUGAUGCCUACCGAGCCUUUGGCUGAUUUGUCUAACUCUCCCAUGGCACUAAGGAUGAGAAGAGCUGCCCCACAGGGGUUAACCCGUCCCUGGACAAACAAAAGGGCACGAAAGCUGCACAGCGAAAUCUCACCUGGAAAGGGAAGACUCAGCAGAGACCGAGGCAGAGGGUCAGCCAGGACAAGGGCCUUGGGGAAUACCCUGAGAGUUCUCGUUGGCUUGCCGGAAAUUCCGAGGGUCGGACACAUCCAUGGUCAUGCUGUUGGCCAAGGGGUCCCACCUGGUCACGUGAACUAACGCAUGCCUGGUUUACCGACCGUUUGGCCCCCGUGACCUCUGGCCUGCUCUCUCGGACAGCAGCUGCUCUGUGUGCUCUGAACGGUUGCACCUUGGUGCAAAGAGAUGCGCCCCAGAGUGCCUAACUCAUUGAUUCAGUAUCCUCUGUGGGCUGUGAGGCGCUCUUUGCAAGAAGGCCAACAUCCAAGUCGUAUUUUUACUGACUUUGGUCACUUGCCACAGCAUAGCCCUGUCGUGCAAUAAAUGGCCACAAAAUAGUUGGAAGAUUAAUGGAAAGGAGUUAGGGUUCAGACACUUAUGGGAAUGGUAUUUGGUGCCUCCAUGCACAGAGGUGUUUGCACUGCCCAUGUCUCAGCUCACCAGGGAAAUAAUGGUGUGCUUGCUUCUGAUGGUGCAGCAGCUGCCCUUCGCAGGACAGUGACACAGAGACACGAGAAGCAGUGCCGUUCUGUAAUUAGCUCUCAGAAGGGACCUUUUAUUUGUGACCUACUCAGGUCGCAGGGAUACACUUCAUGUGGUUGAUUGACUUCCGCAGAGGGAGGGACUGAUCACUGUGCAGGAAACUAAGUGGACAACCAGUCCUUGUGAAACCUGCCUGAAGGUUAAACACCUUUAGAAACAAAAAGAGUUAACCGAGAAAGAUGGCUCUCGGGGCCUGAAUCGGAUCUUCCAGGUGGAUUCUGUAGGCCCUCACAUGUGUGAUAGUGACGCUGAGUGCUGCUGCUCUGUACCCACUGCCGUUCAGGUCUGGGCGUCCCAUUUCCAAGCAAGCAGGCUUAGGGAUCUAGCGCUGUCAGUUCCGUGAAGUCCUGCCCGGCUUCUGCUGGCACCCCUACCCUGCUGGAUCUGAUCAGAGCGCACACUUUGUGGUUAAAGAAGUCCCACAAGGGGCCGGAUCACAGCACGUAUCCCCUUAUACUCCAGCUGCCCCAGGAGCCAUUGAAAUUCUUAGUGGGUUGCUUAAAGGUCAGUUGAAGCUGUUGCAGACAGUAACCACAAACCAUGGCAGAAAGACCUAUGGAAAGCUACCUUAUCACUACAAAACGGUUUGUGUGUUUGGUCUUUUGUGACUUUUCUGUUAAGGAUGCUCUGAUGUAAGCCUUCCUCCUCAGUCAGAGAGUGGGUCCACUUCUCCUUUUGAACGUGAACUCCGUUGAUGUUUGCUCUUAGCUUGGUUGAGGAGAAAGGGCAGGGUGAUUUGGAAAUUGCGGUUCAAGGGGUAGAUUGCGGCGGUGUGUGUGUUGCUGCAUUAUGAGCCGUGUGAAACUGGGUUGGUGUUCUGAUUGUGAUUGAUAGGACUGUGCACUGACGGCACUCCCUCCAUGCUGAGCUCUUCCUUGCAACACAAGCCGCCACUGAGCCCGGUGCUGGCUGAGAGCCAGGAGGCCCACUGCUCCGCCCGGGGGGCCCAGAGCCACAUGGGAACUGCUGGCUCCUAUCAAGGAGACCUGUGAGCGCCCGCUGACAGCCACGCUGACAGCUUGCGACAACAUGCAAAUGCUAACUUGGGUCUGAGCCUCCCGUGCAAGGCUGACAUCUAGAAGCUGAGAUGUCCUGCUCCUGAGAUGUCCCAGCAUUCCCUCGGAAAAGGCAUCCGCCGCUGGAGGCUCUGCUGAAGUUCAAGGCCUUUGUCUUCAUUGCCGACAGCCAGCAGCAUCCAGACCCACCCAACCACACCUUGAAGGGGAGUGUUUUCCUGGACCAUUUGGAAGAGGUCCUCGUGGACACCUGGUGUUUGGUUCACUACUGGCACUCUGCGCUCGAGUUUCUGUCUUGUAUCUGUUUUGCCCAUCUUUUCCUAUGUUCUUUUUGCUAGUUUUACUUAUUCUGCUUUAGUGUACAUUGUAAUAAACUGAUGGAUU